AGUGAACGCUGGCGGUAGGCCUAACACAUGCAAGUCGAACGGCAGCACAGUAAGAGCUUGCUCUUACGGGUGGCGAGUGGCGGACGGGUGAGGAAUACAUCGGAAUCUACUUUUUCGUGGGGGAUAACGUAGGGAAACUUACGCUAAUACCGCAUACGACCUACGGGUGAAAGCAGUGGAUCUUCGGACCUUGCGCGAUUGAAUGAGCCGAUGUCGGAUUAGCUAGUUGGCGGGGUAAAGGCCCACCAAGGCGACGAUCCGUAGCUGGUCUGAGAGGAUGAUAAGCCACACUGGAAUGGAGACACCGUCCAGAGUCCUACGGGAGGCAGCAGUGGGGAAUAUUGGACAGUGGGCGCAAGCCUGGUCCAGCCAUACCGCGUGGGUGGAGAAGGCCUUCGGGUUGUAAAGACCUUUUGUUGGGAAAGAAAAGCAGCAGGUUAAUACCCCGCUGUUCUGACGGUACCCAAAGAAUAAGCACCGGCUAACUUCGUG
rnacentral:rRNA from 1 species